rnacentral:rRNA from 1 species
GAUGAACGCUGGCGGCGUGCUUAACACAUGCAAGUCGAACGAUGAAGCCCAGCUUGCUGGGUGGAUUAGUGGCGAACGGGUGAGUAACACGUGAGUAACCUGCCCUUAACUCUGGGAUAAGCCUUGGAAACUGGGUCUAUUACCGGAUAGGAGCGUCCACCGCAUGGUGGGUGUUGGGAAGAUUUAUCGGUUUUGGAUGGACUCGCGGCCUAUCAGCUUGUUGGUGAGGUAAUGGCUCACCAAGGCGACGACGGGUAGCCGGCCUGAGAGGGUGACCGGCCACACUGGGACUGAGACACGGCCCAGACUCCUACGGGAGGCAGCAGUGGGGAAUAUUGCACAAUGGGCGCAAGCCUGAUGCAGCGACGCCGCGUGAGGGAUGACGGCCUUCGGGUUGUAAACCUCUUUCAGUAGGGAAGAAGCGAAAGUGACGGUACCUGCAGAAGAAGCACCGGCUAACUACGUG